rnacentral:lncRNA from 1 species
AGAAGGGGAAAAAUAUCACUCAAGGGUGUGCUAAGGUAACAAUACCCUCCCAAUGUCUUUGCUGUAAGUUGGUUUUGUGUUCAACUUUGGAAAGAUGAAAUUUAUUAAUGGAUAAGGAGGCUGCCAAGGUAAAGAGCAGCACACCCUCGUAGGCUGCCAAAUGCCAAGAGUCAACAACAACAACAAAAAUGAACAAGGAAAAGGGACAAACAAAUAUCUCCACUGGAAUGAUGAUACCAUUACUCUUUUCUAGUAAUAUGGGAAAGACAAUAUAUACAUGUUAAACUACAUUUACAAUUC